rnacentral:rRNA from 1 species
GUCACACCUGUUCCCAUGCCGAACACAGAAGUUAAGCUCCUUAGCGACGAUGGUAGCCAACUUACGUUCCGCUAGAGUAGAACGUUGCCAGGCA